rnacentral:misc_RNA from 1 species
UUGUUUAGUAUUCCUAAUUUGUUACUAAUAGGACUUGUUGAUAAACUAUAAAUACCUAUUCCUUAGCAUUUUAUUGGAGAGUUUUAUUAUGAUAUUUUUAUUGAGAAUUAACAAAAUUUGAGAAUUUCUCUCUUUCUUUUUGAGAAUUUGUUUCUCAUUCCUUUAAUCCCUUUGUUCCAGUUUUUCUACAUCAAUUUGGUAUUAGAGCUUGUUCUGCAUCACUUUUCUCUUUAAUUUUUUUUUGUUCCAUUUCUUUUGAAGAGUUAAUGAAGCACAUUGUUCUGUUUCUUUGAUUUAGACAGCACCAAAAUGGAAGUCUCAGAAAAUUGAUGUGGUACAUUUGAGUGUGUACUUGAACCUAGGCGAAUACGAAGCUAAAACUUCUUAAGAAUCAUAGCACAUUGUUGAAAGAAGUUGUUAGUGAGUUGAUGCAUUGUCCUGAGUCUUGUGAUACAUAGUUGUGGUAUAGUCUCUCUUUCAUGCAUGAGUCAAUGCAUAACAUCCAACAUAAUCAUUUUCCAGUAAAAGAUUUGAGAGUUCAAAUUGUUUCUGUGCAUUUGAAGUUGAGAAUGAAAUAAUUUUUAUGGUUUCUAACUUCAAAGGCCCAGUUUUUAAUCACUGGAAUUUGGGCGAAGGGGGAUUUAUGUAGUGGGAAAGAACUACCCAUGUUAUGUAAAUGAAGUCCCAAUAGGUAGCAUACUUGAACCAAAAAAAAGGAUCAGUUAAUAGUAUUUUGCUUCUUUUGAUGCAACUUCAAAAUUUGAAGGUUUUCAUACUUUCAACAAUAGAACAAGAUCUUUUGGGUGAGACAAGGUGCCUUGCAGAGUUUCCUCAUUCUUUCCUUCUUUUUUCAGGAAGAAACAACUGGAAUCUUCUCACUGUAAUUAAUUAUGUAAAUCUUAAUUAUCUCAGGAGUCUGUCUUUCUUCCCCACCAUUGCCAAAUCUGUCCUUAUCUUGAUGCUUUGUAUAAUCCUAUAUUGACUGGGUCUAGAUAUGGGGAACAACUCAAGAAGCUAUUUGCAAGAGCUCUUUGAUAGCUUUCAACCAGUGGAUGCCAGUGGUGAUAAAAUACAGGAUGCUGACAGUAGUGAUGGAGAGUAUCAGAUUUAUGAGCAAGAUGAUGAUGAUGAUGAUGAUG